rnacentral:lncRNA from 1 species
CUCAAUGGCUCUGGUCUGUUGUUAUUUGGGGAAGUAGAGUUCUGACAGACGUUCUUGCCUCAGCUGAAAACGUUAGCUAGAUUUCUCUACUGGAGUACUCGCUCUCAAACUACAAAGUCAGGACAACUGUAACUGAACGAAGUGAAGGAUCUAGCUAUCUUACACUUAGAAGUUAUUUGACUAGUGGAAACGUCGUCGGAUAGAGAGACUUGCUAGUAGCUAGCUAACUAAAUAACUACAAUGGAGCAGGUUAGCUAACUUUACAUCGUUCAUUCUGUUCUGGUUUGUUGUAGUGUCACAAUAAUAAUCACUAGUGAUGGGGAAACUAAGCUUCCUGAAGCAUUGAGGCUGUCCAGCACUAAGAUGAACUACAGAGUUUUUAAUGGCUGUGAUGGGAGAAAACUGAGGAUGGAUCAACAUCAUGCACUGAACACAAAUAGAAAUACAAAAAGGUGCUGGUACUCAUUCUGGGUGCUCUUACUGUUUAUAUUUAGUUGCAGGAACUCUGCAUUACUUUUGCGCUUAUUAUUCUAUGAGUGGUGAAGGAACUAAAGCAGUUGAACGUUUUUGAGGUGAUGCAAUGUGAAUAAGCGUUAAAUAUUUCGCCCUUCCUGUGGUUUCCAG